UUUAACUGAAGAGUUUGAUCAUGGCUCAGAUUGAACGCUGGCGGCAGGCUUAACACAUGCAAGUCGAGCGGGGGAAGGUAGCUUGCUACUGGACCUAGCGGCGGACGGGUGAGUAAUGCUUAGGAAUCUGCCUAUUAGUGGGGGACAACAUCUCGAAAGGGAUGCUAAUACCGCAUACGUCCUACGG
rnacentral:rRNA from 1 species